GCUUGACCUCAAAUCAGGUAGGAAUACCCGCUGAACUUAAGCAUAUCAAU
rnacentral:rRNA from 1 species